GUCCCCUUCGGGUGACAUACGAAAAAAUUGGAACGAUACAGAGAAGGGCAUUAAUGUAUGUCCGGAAGAUUUCGCCAUGAUUCCCGGAGUGGUCGAUCACUCCAUUUGUGGAAAAUUUCCCUUUUUGGAUAUUUUGACCCGGUCAGUAUAAUAUUAUUCAGUUAGCAUGGCCCCUGCACAAGGAUGACACGCUUUCCCGGAGUGGUAGAUCUACGGAUCUCAAUAUUUAU
rnacentral:snRNA from 1 species